rnacentral:rRNA from 1 species
UACGUAGGGUGCAAGCGUUGUCCGGAAUUAUUGGGCGUAAAGAGCUCGUAGGCGGUUUGUCGCGUCUGCUGUGAAAAUCCAGGGCUUAACCCUGGACCUGCAGUGGGUACGGGCAGACUAGAGUGCGGUAGGGGAGAUCGGAAUUCCUGGUGUAGCGGUGAAAUGCGCAGAUAUCAGGAGGAACACCGGUGGCGAAGGCGGUUCUCUGGGCAUGUCCUGACGCUGAGGAGCGAAAGUGUGGGGAGCGAACAGG